rnacentral:rRNA from 1 species
GACGAACGCUGGCGGCGUGCUUAACACAUGCAAGUCGAACGGAAAGGCCCUGCUUUUGUGGGGUGCUCGAGUGGCGAACGGGUGAGUAACACGUGAGUAACCUGCCCUUGACUUUGGGAUAACUUCAGGAAACUGGGGCUAAUACCGGAUAGGAGCUCCUGCUGCAUGGUGGGGGUUGGAAAGUUUCGGCGGUUGGGGAUGGACUCGCGGCUUAUCAGCUUGUUGGUUGGGUAGUGGCUUACCAAGGCUUUGACGGGUAGCCGGCCUGAGAGGGUGACCGGCCACAUUGGGACUGAGAUACGGCGCAGACUCCUACGGGAGGCAGCAGUGGGGAAUAUUGCACAAUGGGCGGAAGCCUGAUGCAGAAACGCCGCGUGCGGGAUGACGGCCUUCGGGUUGUAAACCGCUUUCGCCUGUGACGAAGCGUGAGUGACGGUAAUGGGUAAAGAAGCACCGGCUAACUACGUG